ACCUUACCACCUUUUGACAUGCCUGGACCGCCACGGAGACGUGGCUUUCCCUUCGGGGACUAGGACACAGGUGCUGCAUGGCUGUCGUCAGCUCGUGUCGUGAGAUGUUGGGUUAAGUCCCGCAACGAGCGCAACCCUCGCCAUUAGUUGCCAUCAUUUAGUUGGGAACUCUAAUGGGACUGCCGGUGCUAAGCCGGAGGAAGGUGGGGAUGACGUCAAGUCCUCAUGGCCCUUACAGGGUGGGCUACACACGUGCUACAAUGGCUACUACAGAGGGUUAAUCCUUAAAAGUAGUCUCAGUUCGGAUUGUCCUCUGCAACUCGAGGGCAUGAAGUUGGAAUCGCUAGUAAUCGC
rnacentral:rRNA from 1 species